GCGGAGGUGAGCUCAGCUGGUGCUGGGGGUUGGCUUCAAACCAAUCGGACCCUUGCGGGUCAGACGUUCGAUCCGUCCCUCUCCGC
rnacentral:tRNA from 1 species